CCUCUGCCUCCUCUGCUCCCUCCCCGCUCACUCGGAGCCCCUCCCAUGGUCCCCUGCCCCCACACCCAUCCCCCUAUCCCUCACCUCAGCCUUCCCAGCCAUCAGCCCCAGGUGGGAGGGCUGAGUGCGGGGACUGCCCCAGGAGGCACCGGCCACAUGGACCAAGAUACCCCAAGAAGCCCUAAGCCCGUGUGUGUUCACUCUACCCAGCGCCCCCAGCAGGGGGGCAGCAUCCCUGCUUUUCUGAAGAGGAAACUGAGGUUACUAGGCCAAGAAGAGGGGGACCCAGGACGUGAGGGAGUCCAAGAUUCACCACUGUCCUCAUUCCCCUCUGUGAUGUGUCUCAAAGGGACCCCCCACAGCCCCUUAUCCCCAUCCAGUCACCAGAGCCAACGCCCGGGUCCGGGGCCCCGCCUGCCCUUGCCCACCCGUCCUGGGAAUGGAGCCCCUCCCCACCAGGAGCCUGGGGUUUGUUCCACCCCCUUCAUCUUCAUCUUGGAGACACUGGCCUGUCCCUUCAACUGGGGUGUCUACACCUGUCUCACCUGCCAGCCUCAGGCUCAGGAUCCCUGUGGACACAGGAGGGUAAGUGUGCAAGGGCACCGCGUCACCUCUGGGCACCAUCAUUUUCAGUGCAAAGCCAAGAUCCACACGGCCGGUGAGAUGGGGGUUCCACCUGCCGUCCCGGCAUGGCACCAGGCACAGGCCAUCCCCAGGGGUCCCUCUCCCAGUUGCCUCCUCCCUCAGCUCCUCCCCCACAGCCUCAUUUUGGGGAAACAAGCAUAUUUGUCAACCCAAGAAUCACCAUGAGUUUGCAUUUUCCACGGGAGGUUUCCGGAGAUGCCAGGGCAGGCCAGCUCCAGGGAUGACGGCCGCUCCCAGGUCUCGGGGUGGCAGGGCACGUGGAGCGAAACAGGUGGGGGCAGAGGGGACCAGCACCGGGAUGUGGUGUCCCACCCCCAUGCAGCCAGCUCACGGGCUAAGUCCCUCGGCCCGGUGCCCGGCUCGAUGCCACGGGACAGCGCGGCCUGCGCUCACUCCCCACAUCUGUGCUGCGGGCCCCGGGGGUCUCCACACAGCCUCGGUUUGCCCAUCUCUGUGACAACUCGAGCAGGCCCGGGACGGCACUGCUCAGUGCGGUGUUGGUCGCCAGAACUCCCCAGGAAUCGGCCACUUUGUGGGAAGGUGGCACAUGCGGCUUUCUCACUGGGACCCUGUUGGGUGGAGCAGCGCGGCUGCCCGGCGCGUGGCCGUGAGGACGCGGGGCCUCCUGGAGCCACCGAGCUGAGUGCAGCCCCCCCCAGCCGAGUGCAGCCCCCCGAGCCGAGUGCAGCCCCCCCCAGCCGAGUGCAGCCCCCCAGCUGAGUGCAGCCCCCCGAGCCGAGUGCAGCCCCCCCAGCCGAGUGCAGCCCC
rnacentral:lncRNA from 1 species